CACUAAUGGUCUUAUGGUGUCACAGUCCUUUCGAGAGUCUCUGUUAACUGGGGGAAUGUUUUCCCCUUCAGGCUCAACAGUUGUGGGCUCACUGAGAGGAGCUGUGCAGGUCUGGCAUCUGUCCUCACCAAAGCAUCUUCAAAACUUAAAAUUCUGGACCUCAGUGAAAACAGUAUUGGAGAUAUUGGGGUUCAAGAACUGUGUAGUGGACUUGGUAACCCAAACUGUGUACUGGAGACACUCAGACAGGGGCCAGAGCGAGAUUCUUGAAGUUCACGCAUGCGCAUUUGUACUACCUACGGGGAUUCCCACUGGACUUAGGAAGGAGUAAGGAAUUUCCACUGGAGGAAGGAUUGGAAGCGGCGCGAGUCUCCGACAACCACGCUCUGAAACUACCACGUUUUGGAAAAGAUACAACCUGCAAUGCAAUGCAAGAAAUGUAACUUUUCCCACUCGAAUGUGAGGACCCUCAUUAAUCACUACCGGCUCGUACAUGCUCAAGGAAGAACUUGGCCCUGCCCCUAUUCUGAUUGUGUCUGCACCUUUAGGACAUCAGAAUGCUGUUGCGGGUGUGCAUAUCCUCAGACAACAUUCGGCGGGUCAACCUUCCUUGUCUGCCAGAAUCUGUGGAUCAACUGAAGGAUAUUCUCAGAGAGAUGCUUGGACUGACAGAACAAUUUUCUUUGCAAUUUGAAGAUCCAGAGUUUGGCAAUGCUCUUUGUAAUUUACACAGCAUAGAUGAGUUGCCUGCAGACAAAGCAAUCCUAAAAGUUGUGUGGGACAACACAGCCUCUGAUGAUACUCAGACACCUGCAUCAGAUCUGUCCGAUACAAAUUCGGUGUCAUCACUUGACACAGCAAGCACAUCUAGUCAUGAGAAUUUAAGUUCUCCAAACUUUUACAAAAGACUCAAAACAGCCAAAAACUUGCCAUUACCAGGAUCAAUUGAAAUUCCCAAAUUCCCCCUUGAUGUUGAACUUCGUCUCAAAAAAGGCAACGAGAUAUACAGGCAGACCAAAACUCCCAUUGUCCCCCCAAGAGAAAUGAAAUCUGCCAUUUGUACUGCGUUAGUUGAAUCAAUAUUUGAAUCUGGUUGCUACCCAGAAAAGCAAGAUAUGAAGUUUUAUGCUGCAGCACUAGUAGAAAAGCACCCAUGUCUCACAGAAGAUGGUCCUGGGAGCGGGUAUGAUGGAUGGCUUGUAAGCCUUUGGUUUAAAGUUGGGAACUAUCGGAGUAAGUUGCGUAAAGCAGGACAUGCAGAAGUGAGCGUGAACAAAAGACAACAAGAAGAAGGGUUUCGCCUCAAGAAAGCAAGAAGAGCAGAGACAAACUUUUUACCACCCCAUCCCGAAGGCCAAUCUGAUGAGACCCUUGAGGACUUAAGACUGCAAAUAAUUAAAGAAACCGAAAAGAAGAAGUUUGAUAGCACCUUUGUUAAAGAAACAAUGGCUCUAACCUUUUCCCUCCGACGUCAAGAGGUGGUUGACAUCCAGCCUCUGGUUACCGUAUUGAGAGACAGAUGGCCUGCUCUGUUCUUCAAAGAUGAGAUUUGCCGGGAAUUCUACCGGAUUACCAACAUAGACCUCAUGGUAACAUUCCAGUCAUCGCUUGAAAAAUUUACUCCAGCACUACUGAAGUAUUACCGGAAGAAGAAGGAGCUGACUGCACUGCUUGCUCCUCUAGACGACCAGGUGUCAGACAUUGUGGACCUUCGGAAAAGAGUUGCCUUGGAAGGACUACCUCUCGUCCUAAAAGAGGAGUCUGGAUGCCUUUUUCGGAAAUGUUUGGAUACUGAUGCAGAAGACGACAUCUACACACGAGAUGUGAAGAUUGGCAUCCUCACAGUGCUGGAGGAUGAUGUUGCUGCCAAGAAGUCGCUUCCUACGGUAAUAAACAUUGCAAUCGUUCUGGAAGAGACUGUGGUCCUAGAGGACAUUCAAGACAUGCCAUCCGCCGUUGCGUACCUCUUUGGGCUCAUGUACGCCACAAAUAUGGAAUACCCAAAGGACCUUUGCUACACGUUCGAGGUGAUCCAGAGGGUAUUUCUGGAACUUGAUGCCCAGACCUGCUCAUCCAGAACGCUUUCUCUUCGGCCCUGGGUAAGUGCCUUAUUGGAAAGGAAGGCUUCAGAGCUCUUGCAUCAGCACUGAGAUCAAACCCCUCACACAUGAGAGAGCUGCAGCUGAGUGGGAAUAAAGCAGGAGACUCAGGAAUGAAGCAUCUUUCUUCUCUUCUGGAGGAUCCCAACUGCAAACUGGAGAAACUACAGUAUCACAAGGCCAAGUACUGAGUUGCUAUCACGCACACACACACACACGCACGCACGCACGCACGCACGCACGCACGCACACACACACACACACACGCACACCACUGAGUCAGUCCGUCAGUCACUCUCUCACUCACGUACAGUACACAAUCACUCACACUAUGACAAAACACACACACACACACACACACACACAAACACAAAGAGCAUUGAACAUUUGACAUUAAUGUUGAUUGUCCAAAAGGAAAUGAAGAUGAAGUAGUUCUCCUACUUCUCUCUACAGUAUUGGAGAGGAAGGCUUCAGAGCUCUUGCAUCAGCACUGAGAUCAAACCCCUCACACAUGAGAGAGCUGCAGCUGAGUUGGAAUAUAGCAGGAGACUCAGGAGUGAAGCAUCUUUCUUCUCUUCUGGAGGAUCCCAACUGUAAACUGGAGAAACUAUACCUGCAUAACUGCAGUAUUGGAGAGGAAGGUGUCAUAGCUCUUGCAUCAGCACUGAGAUCAAACCCCUCACACAUGAGAAAGCUGCAGCUGAGUCAUAAUGAAGCAGGAGACUCAGGAGUGAAGCAUCUUUGUUCUCUUCUGGAGGAUCCCAACUGUAAACUGGAGAAACUACACCUGUUUAAGUGCAGUAUUGGAGAGGAAGGCUUCAAAGCUCUUGCAUCAGCUCUGAGGUCAAACCCCUCACACAUGAGAGAGCUGCAGCUGAGUGGGAAUAAAGCAGGAGGCUCAGGAGUGAAGCAUCUUUCUUCUCUUCUGGAGGAUCCCAACUGUAAACUAGAAUAUCUACACCUGAAUAAGUGCAGUAUUGGAGAGGAAGGCUUCAGAGCUCUUGCAUCAGCACUGAGAUCAAACCCCUCACACAUGAGAGAGCUGCGGCUGAGUGGGAAUAAAGCAGGAGACUCAGGCAUGAAGCAUCUUUCUUCUCUUCUGAAGAAUCCCAACUGUAAACUGGAGAAACUAAACCUGAAUAACUGCAGUAUUGGAGAGGAAGGCUUCAGAGCUCUUGCAUCAGCACUGAGAUCAAACCCCUCACACAUGAGAGAGCUGCAGCUGAGUGGGAAUAAAGCAGGAGACUCAGGAGUGAAGCAUCUUUCUUCUCUUCUGAAGAAUCCCAACUGUACACUGGAGAAACUAUAGUGAGUAUCACAAGACCAAAUACUUAAUCUGUUUUUCUCACUCAAACACAAACUCACCACUGAAUCAGUCAGUCACUCAAUGACUCAAUCACUGAUUAACACUCACACAUACACACAUCACUGAAUCACACCCUCCCUCCUUUAUUUAGUCACCCACUUACACACAAACACAACAAACACACACUAACACACUGUUACGCCGUAAAUGGGCGCAACAACAAAAAGGGGGGAAACAGCGAGGUUGCAGCAAUUUAACAAUUUGUUUUGCCCGAAACGAAAGUCCAAAGUUGCCCAAAAGCAGCGGCCGGCCAGCUUCAGACGGAAAACACAAGCAAGCCAGGACAGCGUUCUUGCAGUUAGUCAGCUGCUCUGCUCAAGUCCGAGUCCACCGCUCUCAGUGGGAGGAGCUCCAGCGCUUUAAGACUCAUCAGGUGACCUGUGCACCGGUGCACCUAAUUAGCCUCCAAUCACGGACGAGAAACGAGAAGCACAGCCGGGGAAGGGGCAAGGCCGGGGGCCUGUAACCCCGCAUUCACACUGUCUCCGUCCGUCAACGGAUCUCAUUCACUUUGCAUGGGGCGGACUCGAAAGGCAUUGUGGGUCCGUCCGUCGCUUCAGCUCCGUUGCCUCCGUCAAGAAAGUUGAGAAAUGUUCAACUUUUCAGGCAGCGACGGAUCCGUCAGCCAAUCAGAUCAUGUGUAUGCAAAUACACAUACGGCAGAUCCAACCUCCGUGAUCCGUUGACGGACGGAGACAGUGUGUACGCGGGGUUACACACACACACAUACAUACACACACACACACACACACACACACAGAGUAUUGUAAAUUUGACAGUAAUGUUGAUUGUCCUAAAGGAAAUGAAGAUGAAGUAUUUCUCCUACUUCUCUCUACAGCCUGUAUAACUGCAGUAUUGGAGAGGAAGGCUUCAGAGCUCUUGCAUCAGCACUGAGAUCAAACCCCUCACACAUGAGAGAGCUGUGGCUGAGUAAUAAUAAAGCAGGAGACUCAGGAGUGAAGCAUCUUUGUUCUCUUCUGGAGGAUCCCAACUGUAAACUGGAGAAACUAGUCCUGCAGUGCUGCAGUAUAACAGAUGAUGGUUUCAGAGCUUUAGCAUCAGCACUGAGAUCAAACCCAUCAGCCCUCAGAAACCUCUUUCUGCUGGAGGAUAAUCAGCCUGGACCCUCAGCACAGCAGCUGCUCUCUGAACUGAGGAAACAUCCAAAUUGUAAACAUCUACAAAUAGAUGGACCCUACUGAAUUCAUCCGGUUGUGUUCCACCUGAAUCAUGUUUUUACACUGUGCAUAAAUAAGUGUUGCAGCACAUUCAUAUUUGAGCUAACAUGUUUUAAAAUCACUUAUGUAAAUACAACAAUUGUAAGUAAUGUAUAAAGGAUGUU